GCCGUGUCUGCAGCUGAAAGUCACUUAGGA
rnacentral:piRNA from 1 species